GGGUGUAUAGCCUAGUGGUUAGGCAACUGCCUGUUAAGCAGUCUUAGAUGUGUUCAAUUCACAUUGCACCCG
rnacentral:tRNA from 2 species